AAACCACGGCCCCCAUUUCCCCAUUUUCCCCCUUCGAUGAUUCUCUCAAAUCGAUUUGCCGAAAUGAGUAGGUUUUCUCAUGGUCUUCUUCUUUGAUUGUGUGGAUUAGAUUGGCCAUAUGGAAGUACCCUGUGAUCUGGCGGACCUUCCGCCGGAGCUGAUCACCGAUGUAUUGGAACGAGUCGCGAAGGAGUUGCUGCUCCGGCCCAGGUGCGUGUCCACACGGUGGCGUCGCUUGAUAGACGAACGUUUCUUCAACUCUGAGGUCCGAAAACCAUAUGAAAACUGCAGCAUCCCUUUUCACGGUCGAACCUGUUUGUUGGAGCCAACACCUAAUAUAAUAAUAAGAAGCCAAAGAGAAGUGUGCUGCAGCGCCACUUCUUAAACCGCCAAAGAAGAGAAUUCUUGAAGAAGCCACGAGCUGAUCAAGAAAAGGGGGGCACACAUUAUAAGAUAUUAUAGGAGCUUCAAGAAGCAGAAAAGCAAGCUUCAACCGGCUAACUUGAACGUGAAGGAAAAGUUGCAGCCCACAAUUGUUGACUCCUUAGCCAAGAAGAAAAGUUCAACUUCAGCUCUUGCAUGUUGAAGUCAAAGGCGGUAGAGUCCAGGCGGUGGAAGAUGUCUAUAAAUAGGGCUUGGGAGUGCAAACGCAAGGCAGGCCACACGAGCUGAGAGAAGAAGAGAUUAAGACACAGUCUGUCAAGAGAGAAACCAAGGUGUGAGCCUCAGGAGGCACUGCAGCCUCAGAGCAAGUUAUCCCUUCGUGAUCGAGAAGGGAGAAUAGAAUAGUUGAGUGUGCUUGAGUGUGAGUCUUUUGUACGUGGUGUGAGAGAGAAAAUAUAUUGUAACAGAUUGUUUAUUUUGAGUGUUAUACUUAUACCGCAAUUUUAGUAUAA